UGCACUAGACCACGCCCCUGCCCUGGCACGUGGAGUCCCUCCCUGGCCUGCCUUAUAAGCAGCCAGGAUAAGGCGCGGCGUACACGCGGUACGUUUCUAGUGACAAUUUUUCGGCCGAUCUGGGGAUCUAAGGCUCCCAUAAGGCCGGGAGGAUUCAGCUCUACUCCUGUCGCUAGAGCGCACCGAUGCUGGGGCUUGGAACCAGACACGACGUUAUUGCAACCUCCUCUCCAGAGCUGCCCUGAUGCCUCUAGGAGACCUGUUGCCUAAGGAGGGGCUGAGACUGAUUCUGCGGGUGUGUUUGCCUGGGGCUGUGAGCUCCUAGGGCAGGGACCCCUCAUGCAAACAAUAGCAUCUAGCUUGGUUUACAACUGGCCCCAUGCGGCUUGGGCUCAGACUUGAGCUCAAUGGAGGGGUGGAAUUAAUACUCCUUUCAGGGGGCUGAUAGUGGUGGGCCUAGGGGUGCUGAGCCCACAUGAAUUAAUGGGACUGGUUCUUAAGUACCCAGGUAGUUUGAAAACGGGAUAUUAGGCUUCUGUGUCACGUAGCCCUUUUGAAAAUGUGCCCCCAGUCCCUCUGUGGAAGAGCUAAUGCUCCGGGUCCAAGAUGACACCGAUAUGGGGCAGGUGACUGUUCAGACUUGUCUGUUUGCACAAUUUAGCAAAGAGGUCCUGGGGACUUAAAUUUAACCAACUUUGUUUCUAUUUGGCUUACAUCUGUUGGACAGAGUAGAGUGUUAAGUGAAGUUGCUUUUAAACAGAGGUGAGGUAUUCUAGUUUGAAGUAGUGCACGUUUUUGCGUAGGCGGGCUUGUGGGGUGAGUGCAGCCUAUUGGAUAGACUCCUGUAGUGGGAGUCAGGUGGCCUUGGUUCUAUUCUUUGCUCUGUUGCUGGGUGAUCUUGGUAAGUCUCGUUCUCGCCUCCAUUAACGCCUCUGUAGCAUGGGGCUUGAAGAGAUCCUGACCUUGGCAAAGCAGGUGCCUCUGAACAGAAGUGCUGGGGAAGAGGUCGCGUGAACGCCUUGCACUAAAGCUCAAUGAACAUGCUCUUUGUGCUAAUAAAGAUUUGAAUGGAGUUCAAA